CUAAUUUCUAGAUCCAAAUCCUCAGACAUGAGUAUAGAGUUUGAGUAACCACAUAAACCAGGAAAGUAUAAAGGGACCAUGCACAGUGUGGAAGGUAGUAGGGUUUGACCUGAUAGUGGAAUAGUAGGAUACAAGUAAUAUGAAGUGGCAAAUAGAAAAUGGGAGUGGGCAAUGCAGGAGAAGGAGAGGUGGGGACAAAUAACACCAAGAAUAUUUGAUAAGUCCUCAAGGAAUUAUAUUAUUCUGUAUGUAUAUAUGUAUGUAUGUAUGAAGUUGAUAAAGCCAUUAGACUGACAAUGCUCCCCACCAAAAAACAAACAAACAAAACCAGAGAAACAAAACCAUAGAUAACAAAACCCCACUACCAGGUAUGAGAGAAUUUCUUUUAAGUGAUUGUUCAAGAUAGUCCAAAUGAUUUCCAAAAUAAUAUAGACUAUUAAUAGAGCCCUUGGUUUCCUUUCAGGUACUGAGGGUAAGCCUCUAUGGCUGAACACUUGGCAAACUUAUGACAGAAGACUCAAAAAAUUUGAUUUGGAUAUGCCCUGAAAACACAUUUCCUAUAGUAUAACCUUCAUGGUACCAGAAAAUAUUACACAAGUUGCCAAAGAAGAGAAGGAAUUAAACAGUUCAACCCAGCUGUAACAACUUUGAACCACGAUAAUAACCAGAAAGGGCUGUGCAAUAUCCCCACCUCCUUGUUUAUUAUAUAUAAUAAACAUGCUGAGCUGCUGGAACGUUGUGUCUUCUCCACCAGAGUGCCCAGUAGGCUUGAUCCCAGCUAUCUAAAGCAGCAGUCCUCCCAAGAACAUCAACGAAACAAAUCAUAUCAAGUUAUGGCUGUGCUGCAGUGUACCUGUUUCUGUGGCCUGUGAGCAAGGAUUGCAUAUAUAGUUUUAUUUUAGCUGCAGGCCCUUAAGACUGAAAUAAGAAUUAGAGUUGAAGAAAAUAUGUUGGUGUAUAGAUGCAGAAGAAGAAGAAGAAGAAGAAGAAGAAGAAGAAGAAGAAGAAGAAGAAGAGAGAGAGACAGAGAGAGAGAGAGAGAGAGCCCACCCCUAUCUAUCAAGGACAGUAUAUGACUACUAAUUUCUAAAGUGAAGAAAGUUCCUGUAAAAUCUGUUUAUAAUUACCAACUUCUGCAAAUACAAGAAUUCUGUUGUUUAGUUCACUAAUUUGUUACAGUAGCCAUGGAUUUUUAAUACAGUUUUGUUCCAGUUUGCAACCCUAUGACUGAAGUUAAGGGGCAAUUUAAUGUGUUCAUGAAGUGUAAAAAAAAUUGAAGCACCCAGUAUCAUAGCACUGAAGAAGUCUGCUCACACAUGACUUAGGUGCUUGCUGGAAUUCUCAACUGUGCUUGCUAAUUGUAACUGACUGUCCCAAAAUAGAAACUUCAGCUUCUGAACUCUGGAGAAUGGGUCUCAGUGUUAAAGCAACCAAACAAACACAACACACAGAAAGGAAACAUUUUAGGAUAAUUAACCAUCUCUUUCCUACCAAGAAUCAAUGUUUAAAUUGAGAAUUUUUUCUAACAGGUUUGCUGUGGGGUCUUGGUGUAACAAGGGCUUCUCAAGAAGAUGUUAUGCUAUUUCUUUCCAGCUGUGUUUUACAUAGUAAAUGUAUUCCUUGUACAAGCCCAAACAAGAUUUUUCACCACCAACAGCGUGGAGUUCAGUAUUCACUUUAAAAUCAAGCUGUUCUUUCUUUACACAUCUACUAAAACUGAUGGAAAGUACUGAAAACUUUACAAAAUAGACAUGCCCUAUAGUUUGGUUAAUAAAGGGAACUACAAAAAGGAAGUUGUUUGACUUUUUUCAUUAUGAAAUGUAAUCUUGUGGUGAUAAUUGCAAUCCAAAGACUAGAGGCUCAUAAAUGGCAAGAACAUGUUCUGACAGAUGAUUGAGAAACAGAGAAAACAAAUACAUAUGGAAGUUACAAUAGAGUGUCAACUUAUUGCUGAAAAUUGUUAGAAAGAAUUGAAAUAUAAUUUAUUUUCAAUCAAAUGUUAAUUUUUAUCAUAUGAAACAAAAUCAUAAAGGACAUAAAGCUACUAGCAUAUCACUUGCGGGAAUCUUUAAGUCAUAUAACAAACAUAUAUUUAGUUAUGUUCAUGCCGGGAUUAUUUAUAUACUAUUAUUUUAAUAUCAGAGAACGCUCCUAAAAGUCAAAUAGCUCAUUUAUAAUGCACUUUAAAAUCAUUUCUCUACUUUUAUUAAUUACCUUUUGCUUCUUUUAAGAAUGAUGUUAAAAGGUAGACUUUAAAGUAACCCAGAGAAUUCUUAUCACUGUAUCUCAACCAGAUUUAUCUCAUUGUUUCAUCAGAUAUCACAAAUAUUCUAUAAUUACAUAGCAAAUACUGUAGCUUCAAAGACUUUCACAAAUGUUGCCCAAGCUGGUGAAACAGAGAAACAAAAGAGCAAAUGUUAAUGAACAUUGGGAGGAAGGGAAAUAAAGUCUCAAUAUGUUCUGAGUGUGAUCUGGUUUGAA